GGAGAGAUGCCGGAGUGGUCGAUCGGGCCGCACUCGAAAUGCGGUGAACGGGCAACUGUUCCGGGGGUUCGAAUCCCUCUCUCUCCGCCA
rnacentral:tRNA from 1 species